CAGUGGGGAAUAUUGGACAAUGGGCGCAAGCCUGAUCCAGCCAUGCCGCGUGUGUGAAGAAGGUCUUCGGNUUGUAAAGCACUUUAAGUUGGGAGGAAGGGCAGUANGUUAAUACUUUGCUGUUUUGACGUUACCCACAGAAUAAGCACCGGCUAACUCCGUGCCAGCAGCCGCGGUAAUACGGAGGGUGCAAGCGUUAAUCGGAAUUACUGGGCGUAAAGCGCGCGUAGGUGGUUCGUUAAGUNGGAUGUGAAAUCCCCGGGCUCAACCUGGGAACUGCAUUCNAAACUGGCGAGCUAGAGUNUGGUAGAGGGGGGUGGAAUUUCCGGUGUAGCGGUGAAAUGCGUAGAUAUNGGGAGGAACACCGGUGGCGAAGGCGGCCCCCUGGACAUAGAUACUGACACUCAGGUGCGAAAGCGUGGGGAGCAAACAGGAUUAGAUACCC
rnacentral:rRNA from 1 species